rnacentral:rRNA from 1 species
UACAGAGGGGGCAAGCGUUAUUCGGAAUUAUUGGGCGUAAAGGGCGCGUAGGCGGUCGUGACAAGUCACUUGUGAAAUCUCCGGGCUUAACUCGGAACGGUCAAGUGAUACUGUCGGACUAGAGUACAGAAGGGGCAACUGGAAUUCUCGGUGUAGCGGUGAAAUGCGUAGAUAUCGAGAGGAACACCUGCGGCGAAGGCGGGUAGCUGGGCCGACACUGACGCUGAGGCGCGAAAGCCCAGGGGAGCGAACGGG